rnacentral:antisense_RNA from 1 species
UGUGGGAGCUGGCUUGCCUGCGAUGAGGGCGGCACAUUCGACAUCGUUGUCGAUUGAACCACCGCCAUCGCAGGCAAGCCAGCUCCCACA